AAGCGUUCCCCGGCUCCCUUUUGAGGAGACGCCUGAUCCUGCUCAACUUCUCUUCUUGCUUGUUUUCUGUUGUAGUUUGGUCACGGGUUUUGGCUUUGGGGUUUUUUCAUUUUGUUUUGUUUUUCUUUGUGUGUGUGUGUUUGUACCCAGGCUGGGGCACUGGGGUGGCAGGCUUGUGCGACCACUCCAAGCUAGGCCCAUUGCUGAUUGCCUUCCCCUCUGUCACUGAGGGACACCUUGUGGGCUGCAGGUUUGUUGCUGCAUUGAAUUCCACAGUAUGGCUUGCCCAGAGACCUUUGCUCACCUGUCAGUAGACACUGGGUGCUUGCCCCGUCUUUAUUGCCCCAGAGAAAGUUGCUAUGACAAGCCAGGGCUUGUGUUUUGGGG
rnacentral:lncRNA from 1 species